CAGCCGCCACGGGAAUACGGAGGGUGCAAGCGUUAAUCGGAAUUACUGGGCGUAAAGCGUGCGUAGGCGGUGAGUUAAGUCUGCUGUGAAAUCCCCGGGCUCAACCUGGGAAUGGCAGUGGAUACUGGCUCGCUAGAGUGUGUCAGAGGAUGGUGGAAUUCCCGGUGUAGCGGUGAAAUGCGUAGAGAUCGGGAGGAACAUCAGUGGCGAAGGCGGCCAUCUGGGACAACACUGACGCUGAGGCACGAAAGCGUGGGGAGCAAACAGGAUUAGAUACCCGCGUAGUCCCUGUCUCUUAUAC
rnacentral:rRNA from 1 species